rnacentral:rRNA from 1 species
AUUGAACGCUGGCGGCAGGCCUAACACAUGCAAGUCGAGCGGGGUUUUCGGACCUAGCGGCGGACGGGUGAGUAAUGCGUAGGAAGCUGCCCGAUAGAGGGGGAUACCAGUUGGAAACGACUGUUAAUACCGCAUAAUGUCUACGGACCAAAGUGUGGGACCUUCGGGCCACAUGCUAUCGGAUGCGCCUACGUGGGAUUAGCUAGUUGGUGAGGUAAUGGCUCACCAAGGCGACGAUCUCUAGCUGGUUUGAGAGGAUGAUCAGCCACACUGGGACUGGGGAACCGUCCAGAAUCCUACGGGAGGGAGGCGGGGGGAAUAUUGGACAAUGGGGGGAAGCCUGAUCCAGCCAUGCCGGGUGUGUGAAGAAGGCCUUCGGGUUGUAAAGCACUUUCAGCGAGGGGGAAGGGAUGUAUGUUAAUAGCAUGCAUUUCUGACGUUACUCGCAGAAGAAGCACCGGCUAAAUCUGUGCCAGCCGCCGCCGUAAUAC